AUGAUUUUUAUUAUAAUAUUUUUUCAUAAUGUUAUUAAAACUAGUAAUAAAGUAAAAAAAGUUAUUGUUGUUUUAAAUAUGUUUAUACCUAAUAUAAUUAAAUAUUGUAUGUGUAAAUGUCUAAUAGAAACAACAGAACAUUGUUCUAUAUCAUACAUAAAUGAUUUGGUAUCACCUUUAUAUUUAUGUAACUGUAACACUUGUAUAGUAAUAGAUUUAGGUUAUUUGAAUUGUAGGAUAUUACCUGUAUUAAAUGGAUUUCCUUUAUAUUAUCAUUUUACAUAUAUAAAUAAUGGUGGUAUUUAUAUAAAUAAAGAAAUAAAAAAGUUAUUAAAAGAACAGUAUAUAAAUGCGUAUCUAUAUAAAAAAGAAACGAGUUGUAAUGUUUUAAGUAGCGCUAGUGAUGAUUAUGAUGAUGUAGAUUUUAAUACAGAAAAGUUGAUAUAUAUGAGUAACAAUAACAACAAUCGCAUUAACAAUAACAAGAACAAUGAUGACUUUAAUUACCUUUUUGAUAAUUACUUAAAUAUGUAUACAAUGGAGGAAAUAUUAAACGUGAUUGACAAUAUAACAGACAACGAGUUAGAAAAUAUAAAAAUAACGUGUUGUUAUUUAGAAAAUAAAAAAAUUAACUUAACUAGUAAUAAAUAUAUUAUAUAUAAAAUAAAUAAUUAUGAUAUUAUAAUUACACCUGAUAUUAGACGUAAAAGUUGUGAAAUAUUAUUUACCAAAAGUUAUAAACAAAAUUUUUAUUCUUUGUUUUCAACUAUAUUAAACAAACUUAAUAUAUCUGAGUACUCAGUUUUAAAUAAUAUUGUAUUAGUUGGUGGUUGUAGUAAUAUAAAAGGUAUAGUAUCAAGAUUAACAGAAACUGUUUUUAAAGUUUUAAAAAAUAAAAAUAUAUGUAUACAAAAUUUGGAAAAUAAAAUAAACUUUAUUUUUCCUAAGAUAUCUCCUAAUUUGCGUCAAUUUAUAGGGGCAUCUGUUUAUGCUAAUUUAGAUAAUCUUCCUAGUUAUACACGCGAACACAUAGAUAACAACGUUUUGUUUGAUCAUCUGAACGAAGACGUUUACUUUAUGUUUAAAAAAUUUUAG
rnacentral:lncRNA from 1 species